GAGGGCAGCAGAGAGGACCCCAGUGCCCCGCAGGGAGACUCGCUCUAUGAGGAAAUCCCAUAUGCCGGGGAGAUUCCCUGCCCCUCGGAUGACAACGGCGACUAUUAUAACAGCACCAAGGACUAUUGUAACUGAACACGGCCAAGACCCCUGCUGACCGUCUGCGGUCCCCUCCGCGCCGCCGCAACCCAGAUCUCGAUGAGAGUCCACCGCUCACACCCCGGGCAGCAUUUACCCUCCUCCAUGAGCUGGGGAAACCCAGGAGAACCCAGGCGUCUUGACUCCCAGCCCUCCUCCCACCCCACAGCAGAGCCCUGGGGCAAGGUCCCACUUGGGCCACUGGAACUGGGCAUAUAAGGGGCAGUUUAAUUUGUAGCUCCUAUUUUCCAGGCUGUGUUGGCUUUUGGGAGGCAGGCUGGCCUAGCAGACAGAGAACAGGACUGGGAGGGAGGCGAUCGGGGGUCUGCCUGCCCACGGGCAACUCACAGCCCUGCUCUGUGCCUCAGUUUCCCAAAAAUGAUCCUACUCUCCUGUGUAUAGCGCUUGGAGAUCUCUGGCCGGAAAGCACUAGACAUGGACAAGGUGUCAUUACCCACCAGGCUGCUGUUUCCCUCCAGGUCCAGCCCCUUUCUCAGCUUUAACACAGUUUUCAUCAGGGAAUUGCCUUUGUUUUGUUUAUUGUUACUGGAUAAUAAAGUGGGUUUAGGAACCCAUCAGCUUGGGUGAUUGCUGCGGGACAGGGAGACUUUGCCGAGGGCAGGGGGCUCCGAGGCUCGAAAGUGAAAGGGAAAAAUGACUCAGCGAGCAGCCUUUCAAAGGUGGGUUUUUAGCAGAUUGUGCAAACGGGAGCCAAUCGCUCUCCGGCGAGAAAUUAAAAACAAACAAACAAAAAACAGAAAAGCAGCAGAAGUCCCUCCACCCCCCCGCCACCCUCAGAGCAGCAAGGCGCUACUGAACAAAAUGAACUGGCAAUUACAAAUGCAUCCGAUGAAGUGAGCUGUAGCUCACAAAAGCUUAUGCCCCAAUAAAUGUGUUAGUCUCUAA